GAAUAUUUAAAAUAUGGCUAGUGUGACUGGGAGCUGAAGUUUCCAUUUUAUUUAGACUUAACUAGCUCAAAUUUAAAUAGCCACAUGUAACUUAUGGCUUGGUAUUGGACAGCAUAGAACAUCUAUAGAAAAUCAAAAGCAGUGGGUAAAAAAUGAGGAAUCAGAAGAAGUAUUUCAGAAAUGUGAACUAUUGUCAGCUGUGAAGGUUCCAAGUGCCUUCUAGAUGGCGUAUUUAUACCUCAAAUCUCUGGAACUGGGUAGCAGAAGACAUUGCCUGGGGACUAUAUAAUUCAGCUCUGAUGGGGAUAUACAAUGACAAACAGAGGUAAAGUUAACCUCUACCUGUGGUUCAGGAGGAGGAGCGCCCCCUGCCUUCUGUCCCUAACCUGCUCAGAACAUCAUUGACAAUGAGCUGUCCAUGCUUGAGAAGAUCUGCAGAGCCAUGAAAAUAAAGAGAACUUCACGUAUGUGUGGCUGUUGCUGGUUGUUACCAAGGUUGGAUCCUUAGGACACAGGUUUUCUUUUUUAAUGACAGGAGGAAGACUGCACACCUUCAAACUUAAGGAAGAGUG
rnacentral:lncRNA from 10 species